GACGAACGCUGGCGGCGUGCCUAAUACAUGCAAGUCGAGCGGACUUGAAGGAGUGCUUGCACUCCUGAGAGUUAGCGGCGGACGGGUGAGUAACACGUAGGCAACCUGCCCUCAAGACUGGGAUAACUACCGGAAACGGUAGCUAAUACCGGAUAAUUUAUUACAUAGCAUUAUGUGAUAAUGAAAGACGGAGCAAUCUGUCACUUGGGGAUGGGCCUGCGGCGCAUUAGCUAGUUGGUGGGGUAACGGCCCACCAAGGCGACGAUGCGUAGCCGACCUGAGAGGGUGAACGGCCACACUGGGACUGAGACACGGCCCAGACUCCUACGGGAGGCAGCAGUAGGGAAUCUUCCGCAAUGGGCGAAAGCCUGACGGAGCAACGCCGCGUGAGUGAUGAAGGUUUUCGGAUCGUAAAGCUCUGUUGCCAAGGAAGAACGUCUCAUAGAGUAACUGCUAUGAGAGUGACGGUACUUGAGAAGAAAGCCCCGGCUAACUAC
rnacentral:rRNA from 1 species